AUAACCAACUUUUGAGUGGCAAUUGUCCUCACUAUAAUAGUAAAAAUAACUGGGUGGCAAUUGUCCUAGGUGGCAAUUGUCCGGGUGGCAAUU